rnacentral:rRNA from 1 species
GAUGAACGCUGGCGGCGUGCUUAACACAUGCAAGUCGAACGGAAAGGCCCUGCUUUUGUGGGGUGCUCGAGUGGCGAACGGGUGAGUAACACGUGAGUAACCUGCCCUUGACUUUGGGAUAACUCCAGGAAACUGGGGCUAAUACCGGAUAUGAGCUCCUGCUGCAUGGUGGGGGUUGGAAAGUUUCGGCGGUUGGGGAUGGACUCGCGGCUUAUCAGCUUGUUGGUGGGGUAGUGGCUUACCAAGGCUUUGACGGGUAGCCGGCCUGAGAGGGUGACCGGCCACAUUGGGACUGAGAUACGGCCCAGACUCCUACGGGAGGCAGCGGUGGGGAAUAUUGCACAAUGGGCGGAAGCCUGAUGCAGCAACGCCGCGUGCGGGAUGACGGCCUUCGGGUUGUAAACCGCUUUCGCCUGUGACGAAGCGUGAGUGACGGUAAUGGGUAAAGAAGCACCGGCUAACUACGUG